UACGACCUGAACCUCAGUCGUGAGCUGUCCAAGCCCCAGAAGGUGCCUAUCUCAGAGCGCUAUGUGGAGUCAGACCCCGGGGAGCCUCUGAGCCAGGAGCAGAUGGAGGAGCGUCAACGCAGAGCAGAACGCAUAAGAAACAUCCUGGACAAAUCCAAUGUUCAGAACACACAUCCGUCGUCUGCGUGGCUGUCCC